rnacentral:rRNA from 1 species
GGAGGGGAGCGAGCGUUGUUCGGAAUUACUGGGCGUAAAGGGCGCGUAGGCGGGCCGAGUAAGUCCGCGUGUGAAAGGCCGGGGGCUCAACCCCGAGCACUGCACGUGAUACUGCUCGGCUAGAGAAAGGUAGAGGCGAGCGGAAUUCCCGGUGUAGCGGUGGAAUGCGUAGAUAUCGGGAAGAACACCUGUGGCGAAGGCGGCUCGCUGGGCCUUUUCUGACGCUGAAGCGCGAAAGCGUGGGGAGCAAACAGGAUUAGAUACCCUGGUAGUCCACGCCGUAAACGAUGGGUACUAGGUGUUGGGAGGCUUGGCCCUCUCAGUGUCGUCGCUAACGCAUUAAGUACCCCGCCUGGGGAGUACGGUCGCAAGGCUG